rnacentral:rRNA from 1 species
ACGAACGCUGGCGGCGUGCUUAACACAUGCAAGUCGAACGGAAAGGCCCUGCUUUUGUGGGGUGCUCGAGUGGCGAACGGGUGAGUAACACGUGAGUAACCUGCCCUUGACUUUGGGAUAACUUCAGGAAACUGGGGCUAAUACCGGAUAGGAGCUCCUGCUGCAUGGUGGGGGUUGGAAAGUUUCGGCGGUUGGGGAUGGACUCGCGGCUUAUCAGCUUGUUGGUGGGGUAGUGGCUUACCAAGGCUUUGACGGGUAGCCGGCCUGAGAGGGUGACCGGCCACAUUGGGACUGAGAUACGGCCCAGACUCCUACGGGAGGCAGCAGUGGGGAAUAUUGAACAAUGGGCGGAAGCCUGAUGCAGCAACGCCGCGUGCGGGAUGACGGCCUUCGGGUUGUAAACCGCUUUCGCCUGUGACGAAGCGUGAGUGACGGUAAUGGGUAAAGAAGCACCGGCUAAAUACGUG